rnacentral:lncRNA from 1 species
AUGCCUGAUCCUGAACACGCCACCUUCUGUUCGCAUGAGCCAUUCUGUCGGUUUAGAACUGCCUUCCCCUUUCAGGAUGUCACAUUACAAGUUUCCCAGCAAAUCCUCUGGGCAGCCAUGACCAUCUCUUUAAGGGUCCACACAGCACCCCUUUGUGCAGCCUCGCCAGGCGGCCAUCCUGGGAAGGGCAUCGGCCCUGCAGGGGCUGGACCUGUGACUUGCCAUGCUAACGAGGUCAGAGCCGGAAGAUGGAGGUCACAUGGCCCAGAGGAGGAAAAGCAGAGAGGCCUGGGAAGCCCUCUGGGAGAGACCCCUGGGCACCCCAGCAGUGGGGGAAGGAGAAGGAAUUCCAGGAGUGUCGCUUCAAAAUCAGAGUCCCGCCAGCCUCACCUUCACUCCCUACCUUCUCUUGAACUUACACUUCUGUAGCCACAAAUGAUCAGAGCCCUGAAGAGGUGGGGGCACCCUGUAGGUGACAGUGCACAUCCAGGACGUUGCAAUGAGUACUUGGCCAGGUGGACAAGAAUGCAGUGGAAAUAAAUCCCGCAGGCCACCCCACUACCUGGGCUGGAAAAAUGGCAUGAACUUAAAUUUAGAAUCACUAAAUAUCCUGGCAGUGCGAUUCUCAAAAUCGCACUGUUGUUCAAAAUGUUGGGGCCCCAGGGCUGGGGUUGUGGGUCAGCGGUAGAGUGCUCAAUCCUCAGCAUGACAUAAAAAACAAACAAACAAGUAAAGGGUAUUGUGUCCACUACAACUUAAGA